CGCUGGCGGCGUGCCUAACACAUGCAAGUCGAGCGGGAGACUUCGGUCCCUAGCGGCGGACGGGUGAGUAACACGUGGGUAACCUGCCUUAUAGAGGGGGAUAGCCUUCCGAAAGGAAGAUUAAUACCGCAUAAUAUGUUUGUAUCGCAUGGUAUAGACAUCAAAGGAGCAAUCCGCUAUAAGAUGGACCCGCGGCGCAUUAGCUAGUUGGAGAGGUAACGGCUCACCAAGGCGACGAUGCGUAGCCGACCUGAGAGGGUGAUCGGCCACAUUGGAACUGAGACACGGUCCAGACUCCUACGGGAGGCAGCAGUGGGGAAUAUUGCGCAAUGGGGGAAACCCUGACGCAGCAACGCCGCGUGAAUGAAGAAGGCCUUAGGGUUGUAAAGUUCUGUUUUCUGGGACGAUAAUGACGGUACCAGAGGAGGAAGCCACGGCUAACUACGUGCCAGCAGCCGCGGUAAUACGUAGGUGGCAAGCGUUGUCCGGAUUUACUGGGCGUAAAGGAUGCGUAGGCGGAUGUUUAAGUGAGAUGUGAAAUACCCGAGCUCAACUUGGGUGCUGCAUUUCAAACUGGAUAUCUAGAGUGCAGGAGAGGAAAGCGGAAUUCCUAGUGUAGCGGUGAAAUGCGUAGAGAUUAGGAAGAACACCAGUGGCGAAGGCGGCUUUCUGGACUGUAACUGACGCUGAGGCAUGAAAGCGUGGGGAGCAAACAGGAUUAGAUACCCUGGUAGUCCACGCCGUGAACGAUGAAUACUAGGUGUAGGAGGUAUCGACUCCUUCUGUGCCGCAGUUAACACAAUAAGUAUUCCGCCUGGGGAGUACGGUC
rnacentral:rRNA from 1 species